UGUCAGACUUCCUGUUUGCUUUGUAAUAAAAUACAACUAAAAUUUGCACGUGUUUAAUUUUUCUCAAGUUCCCUUUCAGCUUCUUGGACUUGACAUUCCUUGGAGACACACCAUGUGUUCUUCUUGUGAAAUCUGAGCUUUACUCUCAGUGUCUAGGGCCGAGGUGUCCUGGUAAGAAUCAGCAUCUAGACCAGGAGUGAUGUGUAACUCUGAAACACAAAUCUUCCUGGUGACUCACCAGUCCAGGACCAAGGAGAAGAUGCCCCACUGAACUCAGACUUGUUAUCCUCUGUUGAAAGUUUUCUUCUUAUGGAUCUCUGAGUAAGGAGACUAAAGAUUCAGAAUUAAAUGGUCAUGGUCUUGUCCUCAAAGGGAACAUUCCAAAAGAUGAUUCUGACAUCUUCUAACAAUAUAUGAAGACACUUCUAACCACAUGAAAAGCACAGGAGAUAAUUGCAUUUGAUAACUCAGCUUUAUAGUAAAAAUUAAAAAUGUCAAUUUGUGGUAGAGGAUUGGCCUGUAUUCUGAUCUGGUGAGGAAGGGUUUAAGCUGGUUUGGACAUCUCUAGGAGGUUCUGUGGUGGUGCAGGAAGCAAUAUUUGGGCCUUGGCUUCAGACAGAUGUUGAAUUUGAACCCUAGUUGUGAAAUUUUCUGAACUGCAGUUUUUUCAUUGUCCUUGAGAUUUUUCAUGAGGUUUAAAAAUAUGGCAAAUAAGUGCAUCAAGGUGGCUCAGUUGGUUAAGUGUGUAACUCUUGAUUUCAGCU